rnacentral:rRNA from 1 species
CAGUAGCCGCGGUAAUACAUAGGUCCCGAGCGUUGUCCGGGUUUAUUGGGCGUAAAGCGAGCGCAGGCGGUUAGAUAAGUCUGAAGUUAAAGGCUGUGGCUUAACCAUAGUACGCUUUGGAAACUGUUUAACUUGAGUGCAAGAGGGGAGAGUGGAAUCCCAUGUGUAGCGGUGAAAUGCGUAGAUAUAUGGAGGAACACCGGUGGCGAAAGCGGCUCUCUGGCUUGUAACUGACGCUGAGGCUCGAAAGCGUGGGGAGCAAACAGGAUUAGAUACCCCCGUAGUCCCUGUCUCUUAUACA